rnacentral:rRNA from 1 species
AUUGAACGCUGGCGGCAUGCUUUACACAUGCAAGUCGAACGGUAGCAGGGUGCUUGCACCGCUGACGAGUGGCGAACGGGUGAGUAAUGCGUCGGAACGUACCGAGUAGUGGGGGAUAACGCAGCGAAAGUUGUGCUAAUACCGCAUACGUACUGAGGUAGAAAGUGGGGGACCUUCGGGCCUCACGCUAUUCGAGCGGCCGACGUCUGAUUAGCUAGUAGGUGAGGUAAAGGCUCACCUAGGGGACGAACGGUAGGGGGUCUGAGAGGAUGAGCCGCACAACGGGGACUGAGACACGGCCCAGACUCCUACGGGAGGCAGCAGUGGGGAAUUUUGGACAAUGGGCGAAAGCCUGAUCCAGCCAUGCCGCGUGUCUGAAGAAGGCCUUCGGGUUGUAAAGGACUUUUGUCGGGGAGGAAAUCCCCAGCGUUAAUACCGCUGGGGGAUGACAGUACCUGAAGAAUAAGCACCGGCUAACUACGUGCCAGCCGCCGCGGUAACAC